rnacentral:rRNA from 1 species
UGUUUCGGCUAGGGGGUCAUCCCGACUUACCAACCCGAUGCAAACUGCGAAUACCGAAGAAUGUUAUCACGGGAGACACACGGCGGGUGCUAACGUCCGUCGUGAAGAGGGAAACAACCCAGACCGCCAGCUAAGGUCCCAAAGUCAUGGUUAAGUGGGAAACGAUGUGGGAAGGCACAGACAGCCAGGAUGUUGGCUUAGAAGCAGCCAUCAUUUAAAGAAAGCGUAAUAGCUCACUGGUCGAGUCGGCCUGCGCGGAAGAUGUAACGGGGCUAAACCAUGCACCGAAGCUGCGGCAGCGACACUAUGUGUUGUUGGGUAGGGGAGCGUUCUGUAAGCCGUUGAAGGUGUGCUGUGAGGCAUGCUGGAGGUAUCAGAAGUGCGAAUGCUGACAUAAGUAACGAUAAUGCGGGUGAAAAACCCGCACGCCGGAAGACCAAGGGUUCCUGUCCAACGUUAAUCGGGGCAGGGUGAGUCGACCCCUAAGGCGAGGCCGAAAGGCGUAGUCGAUGGGAAACAGGUUAAUAUUCCUGUACUUGGUGUUACUGCGAGGGGGGGACGGAGAAGGCUAUGUUAGCCGGGCGACGGUUGUCCCGGUUUAAGCAUGUAGGCGGAGAUUCCAGGUAAAUCCGGAGUCUUGUUAACGCUGAGGUGUGAUGACGAGGCACUACGGUGCUGAAGUAACAAAUGCCCUGCUUCCAGGAAAAG